rfam:Homo sapiens chromosome 2, GRCh38 reference primary assembly.
GCUGGGCAUGGUGGUGCAUGCCUGUAAUCCCAACUACUCAGGAGGCUGAGGCAGGGGAAUUGCUUGAACCCGGGAGGCGGAAGUUGCAGUGAGCCGAGAUCAUGCCACUGCACUCCACCCUGGGGGACAGAGCGAGACUCCGCCUCAA